rnacentral:rRNA from 1 species
UACGUAGGGGGCAAGCGUUGUCCGGAAUCAUUGGGCGUAAAGAGCGUGUAGGCGGCCCGGUAAGUCCGCUGUGAAAGUCCAGGGCUCAACCCUGGGAUGCCGGUGGAUACUGUCGGGCUCGAGUCCGGAAGAGGAGUGUGGAAUUCCCGGUGUAGUGGUGAAAUGCGUAGAUAUCGGGAGGAACACCAGUGGCGAAGGCGGCUUCCUGGCCGUGUUCUUGACGCUGAGGCGCGAAAGCUAGGGGAGCAAACGGG